CAGAAGCCUGGUCCUGACUUUAACGUCAGUUGUAGCCCAAUUUACACAUGCAAGUUCCCGCACCCCUGUGAGAAUGCCCUUUACAUCCGACAGGAAGAAAGGAGCGGGCAUCAGGCACACCCUCGUAGCCCAAAACGCCUUGCUUAGCCACACCCCCAAGGGAAAUCAGCAGUGACAAACAUUAAGCCAUUAGCGAAAGCUUGACUUAGUUAGAGCUAAGAGGGCCGGUAAAACUCGUGCCAGCAACCGCGGUUAUACGAGAGGCCCAAAUUGACGCACCACGGCGUAAAGUGUGAUUAGAGAUCAACCCAGACUAAAGCCGAACACCCCUUAUGCUGUCAUACGCCAUGGGGGUCACGAAGCUCAACAGCGAAAGUGGCUUUAUGAAUCUUGAACUCACGACAGCUAGGACACAAACUGGGAUUAGAUACCCCACUAUGCUUAGCCUUAAACCAAGGUGAUUUACCCUACAAACUUCACCCGCCAGGGAACUACGAGCCCCAGCUUAAAACCCAAGGGACUUGGCGGUGCCUCAAAACCACCUAGAGGAGCCUGUCCUAUAACCGAUAAUCCCCGUUAAACCUCACCCCUCCUUGCUAAUUCCGCCUAUAUACCGCCGUCGCCAGUUUACCUUGUGAAGGAAAAACAGUAAGCAAAAUGGGCAACACCCAACACGUCAGGUCGAGGUGUAGCGAAUGGAGGGGGAAGAGAUGGGCUACAUUUUCUGAGAACAGAACACUACGAAGAGCGCAAUGAAACGUGCACGGCCGAAGGUGGAUUUAGUAGUAAAAAGGAAAAAGAGAGUCCUUUUGAAAUCGGCUCUGAGGCGCGUACACACCGCCCGUCACUCUCCUCGAAUACCGAAACGACAAUACAUAAAAAACUAAGGAGAAAGAGAGGAGGCAAGUCGUAACAUGGUAAGUGUACCGGAAGGUGCGCUUGGAACAAU
rnacentral:ncRNA from 1 species